rnacentral:rRNA from 1 species
UACGUAGGGUGCAGGCGUUAAUCGGAAUUACUGGGCGUAAAGCGUGCGCAGGCGGUCUCUUAAGACAGGUGUGAAAUCCCCGGGCUUAACCUGGGAACUGCGCUUGUAACUGAGAGGCUUGAGUGUGCCAGAGGGGGGUGGAAUUCCACGUGUAGCAGUGAAAUGCGUAGAGAUGCGGAGGAACACCGAUGGCGAAGGCAGCCCCCUGGGCUAACACUGACGCUCAGGCACGAAAGCGUGGGGAGCAAACAGG